rnacentral:rRNA from 1 species
UGAGACUACCCCCUGGAUUAAAGCAUUUCAAUAAGGGGAGGAAAAGAAA